rnacentral:rRNA from 1 species
AACGAACGCUGGCGGCAUGCCUAACACAUGCAAGUCGAACGAGACCUUCGGGUCUAGUGGCGCACGGGUGCGUAACGCGUGGGAACCUGCCCUUAGGUUCGGAAUAACUCCCCGAAAGGGGUGCUAAUACCGGUUAAUGUCUUCGGACCAAAGAUUUAUCGCCUUUGGAUGGGCCGGCGUUGGUUUAGCUAGUUGGUAGGGUAAAAGCCUACCAAGGCGACGAUCCAUAGCUGGUCUGAGAGGAUGAUCAGCCACACUGGGACUGAGACACGGCCCAGACUCCUACGGGAGGCAGCAGUGGGGAAUAUUGGACAAUGGGCGAAAGUCUGAUCCAGCAAUGCCGCGUGAGUGAUGAAGGCCUUAGGGUUGUAAAGCUCUUUUACCCGGGAUGAUAAUGACCGUACCGGGAGAAUAAGCUCCGGCUAACUCCGUG